CCUACGGGAGGCAGCAGUGGGGGAUAUUGCACAAUGGGGGGAACCCUGAUGCAGCGACGCCGCGUGGGUGAAGGAGUGCUUCGGCAUGUAAAGCCCUAUCGGCAGGGAAGAAGCAAGACGGUACCUGACUAAGAAGCCCCGGCUAACUACGUGCCAGCAGCCGCGGUAAUACGUAGGGGGCGAGCGUUAUCCGGAUUCACUGGGUGGAAAGGGAGCGUAGACGGCCAUGCAAGCCAGGGGUGAAAGCCCGGGGCCGAACCCCGGGACUGCCCUUGGAACUGCAUGGCUGGAGUGCGGGAGGGGCAGGCGGAAUUCCUGGUGUAGCGGUGAAAUGCGUAGAUAUCAGGAGGAACACCGGCGGCGAAGGCGGCCUGCUGGACCGCGACUGACGUUGAGGCUCGAAAGCGUGGGGAGCGAACAGGAUUAGAUACCCUAGUAGUC
rnacentral:rRNA from 1 species